CGUGAUCUACUCUGAGUGGGCGUUGUUUGUAUUUGUAGGUGAGCUCAAUGAAGACUGCAGUAAAAAGAUAUCAUGGCAGAAGUCCUUCAUGAUAUGCAUCAAAAUACUUGAGCUGGUUAGAUUUUUGCUUGUGGCUCCAGUGGAGUAAAUAUCUAAUGGAACAUGCACCAAGCCCCUGCUGGAAAGAUGAAAAAUCAAAAUUUCAAUACCAAGUUCCUGUUAAAGGUUUAAGUCCAUUCAGUUAGUGUCAAUAUAUAUUGUUAACUAUCAUUACAGGUUGGGUAGCAAUGUAGUGCUGCCUCCACGUGGCUCUGCCUGGGAUCACUAGUGGCUACUACUGCUAGUGAUGCUAAGAGCACUACAUACAAGAAGAAUAUAACAAGACUGUACUAACAG